rnacentral:rRNA from 1 species
GAUGAACGCUGGCGGCGUGCCUAAUACAUGCAAGUCGAGCGAAUGGAUUAAGAGCUUGCUCUUAUGAAGUUAGCGGCGGACGGGUGAGUAACACGUGGGUAACCUGCCCAUAAGACUGGGAUAACUCCGGGAAACCGGGGCUAAUACCGGAUAACAUUUUGAACCGCAUGGUUCGAAAUUGAAAGGCGGCUUCGGCUGUCAUGUAUGGAUGGACCCGCGUCGCAUUAGCUAGUUGGUGAGGUAACGGCUCACCAAGGCAACGAUGCGUAGCCGACCUGAGAGGGUGAUCGGCCACACUGGGACUGAGACACGGCCCAGACUCCUACGGGAGGCAGCAGUAGGGAAUCUUCCGCAAUGGACGAAAGUCUGACGGAGCAACGCCGCGUGAGUGAUGAAGGCUUUCGGGUCGUAAAACUCUGUUGUUAGGGAAGAACAAGUGCUAGUUGAAUAAGCUGGCACCUUGACGGUACCUAACCAGAAAGCCACGGCUAACUACAUGCCAGCCGCCGCCGUAA